UACAGAGGGGGCAAGCGUUGUUCGGAAUUACUGGGCGUAAAGGGCGCGUAGGCGGCCUGCUAAGUCGAACGUGAAAUCCCCGGGCUCAACCUGGGCACUGCAGUUGAAACUGGCAAGCUAGAGUAGGGUAGAGGGGUGUGGAAUUCCAGGUGUAGCGGUGAAAUGCGUAGAUAUCUGGAGGAACAUCAGUGGCGAAGGCGACACCCUGGACUCAUACUGACACUGAGGUGCGAAAGCGUGGGGAGCAAACAGG
rnacentral:rRNA from 1 species